rnacentral:rRNA from 1 species
ACGGUCCUAAGGUAGCGAAAUUCCUUGUCGGGUAAGUUCCGACCCGCACGAAAGGUGUAACGAUUUGGGCACUGUCUCAACGAGGGACCCGGUGAAAUUGAAAUACCUGUGAAGAUGCAGGUUACCCGCGACUGGACAGAAAGACCCCAUGGAGCUUUACUGUAACCUGACAUUGGGUUUUGAUACAUUACGUACAGGAUAGGUGGGAGGCAUGGAAAGCUGGACGCUAGUCUGGCUGGAGCCGACGUUGGGAUACCACCCUUGAUGUAUUGAAAUUCUAACCGCGAGAGUAACGAAAUCCGGGACAGUGUCAGGCGGGCAGUUUGACUGGGGCGGUCGCCUCCGAAAGAGUAACGGAGGCGCCCAAAGGUUCCCUCAGCGCGGCCGGAAAUCGCGCGAAGAGUGUAAAGGCAGAAGGGAGCUUGACUGCGAGCCAAACACGGCGAGCAGGUACGAAAGUAGGGCUUAGUGAUCCGGUGGUACCGAGUGGAAGGGCCAUCGCUCAACGGAUAAAAGCUACCCUGGGGAUAACAGGCUAAUCUCUCCCAAGAGUCCAUAUCGACGGGGAGGUUUGGCACCUCGAUGUCGGCUCAUCACAUCCUGGGGCUGAAGUCGGUCCCAAGGGUUGGGCUGUUCGCCCAUUAAAGUGGUACGUGAGCUGGGUUCAGAACGUCGUGAGACAGUUCGGUCCCUAUCCAUCGCGGGCGCAAGAGAUUUGAAGGGGUCUGCUCCUAGUACGAGAGGACCGGAGUGGACGGACCGCUGGUGUACCAGUUAUUCCGCCAGGAGUACAGCUGGGUAGCUACGUCCGGACUGGAUAAACGCUGAAAGCAUCUAAGCGUGAAGCCAUCCUUAAGAUGAGAUCUCUCACAGAGUAAUCUGGUAAGACACCUUAAAGAAGAUGAGGUAGAUAGGCCGGGAGUGUAAGUGCAGCAAUGUAUUGAGCUGACCGGUACUAAUAUGUCGAGGGCUUGACUUC